rnacentral:rRNA from 1 species
GACGAACGCUGGCGGCGUGCCUAAUACAUGCAAGUCGAGCGGAUAGAUAAGGAGCUUGCUCCUUUGAAGUCAGCGGCGGACGGGUGAGUAACACGUGGGCAACCUGCCUAUAAGACUGGGAUAACUCCGGGAAACCGGAGCUAAUACCGGAUAAUUCACAUCUACUCAUGUAGAUGUGCUGAAAGACGGUUUACGCUGUCACUUAUAGAUGGGCCCGCGGCGCAUUAGCUAGUUGGUGAGGUAACGGCUCACCAAGGCCACGAUGCGUAGCCGACCUGAGAGGGUGAUCGGCCACACUGGGACUGAGACACGGCCCAGACUCCUACGGGAGGCUG